rnacentral:rRNA from 1 species
UACGGAAGGCAGCAGUGGGGAAUAUUGCACAAUGGGCGCAAGCCUGAUGCAGCCAUGCCGCGUGUAUGAAGAAGGCCUUCGGGUUGUAAAGUACUUUCAGUCGUGAGGAAGGUGUUAAGGUUAAUAACCUUAGCAAUUGACGUUAGCGACAGAAGAAGCACCGGCUAACUCCGUGCCAGCAGCCGCGGUAAUACGGAGGGUGCGAGCGUUAAUCGGAAUUACUGGGCGUAAAGGGCACGCAGGCGGUUAAUUAAGUUGGAUGUGAAAUCCCCGGGCUUAACCUGGGAGUGGCAUUCAAGACUGGUUAGCUAGAGUCUUGUAGAGGGGGUAGAAUUCCAUGUGUAGCGGUGAAAUGCGUAGAGAUGUGGAGGAAUACCGGUGGCGAAGGCGGCCCCUGGACAAAGACUGACGCUCAUGUGCGAAAGCGUGGGGAGCAAAC